rnacentral:rRNA from 1 species
GACGAACGCUGGCGGCGUGCCUAAUACAUGCAAGUCGAACGCAGUGGCGGACGGGUGAGUAACACGUGGGUGAUCUGCCUUGCACUCUGGGAUAAGCUUGGGAAACUGGGUCUAAUACCGGAUAGUGCAAGAUGAGCUCGCGGCCUAUCAGCUUGUUGGUGGGGUAAUGGCCUACCAAGGCGUCGACGGGUAGCCGGCCUGAGAGGGUGUACGGCCACAUUGGGACUGAGAUACGGCCCAGACUCCUACGGGAGGCAGCAGUGGGGAAUAUUGCACAAUGGGCGGAAGCCUGAUGCAGCGACGCCGCGUGGGGGAUGACGGCCUUCGGGUUGUAAACUCCUUUCGACAGGGACGCGGUACCUGUAUAAGAAGCACCGGCUAACUACGUGCCAGCAGCCGCGGUAAUUC